UUUUCUUUCUUAUGCCUCCAG
rnacentral:piRNA from 1 species